GUGGCCCAGUGGUUAGAGCGUCUGCCUCGUAUGGGGAAGGUCGUUGGUUAGAUCCCGGCUGAUUCA